AUUGAACGCUGGCGGCAGGCCUAACACAUGCAAGUCGAGCGAGCGGCGGACGGGUGAGUAAUGUCUGGGAAACUGCCUGAAGGAGGGGGAUAACUACUGGAAACGGUAGCUAAUACCGCAUACCAUCAGAUGUGCCCAGAUGGGAUUAGCUAGUAGGUGGGGUAACGGCUCACCUAGGCGAAGAUCCCUAGCUGGUCUGAGAGGAUGACCAGCCAAACUGGAACUGAGACACGGUCCAGACUCCGAAGGGAGGCAGCAGGGGGGAAUAUUUGACAAUGGGGGCAAGCCUGAGUCAGCCAUGCCGCGUGUGUGAAGAAGGCCUUCGGGUUGUAAAGCACUUUCAGCGGGGAGGCGUUACCCGCAGAAGAAGCACCGGCUAACUCCGUGCCAGCAGCCGCGGUAAUAC
rnacentral:rRNA from 1 species